CGAACGGGUGAGUAACACGUGGGUGACCUGCCCUUAGCUCUGGGAUAAGCCUGGGAAACUGGGUCUAAUACCGGAUAUGACCUCAUGACGCAUGUUGUGGGGUGGAAAGCCUUGUGCGGCUAGGGAUGGGCCCGCGGCCUAUCAGCUUGUUGGUGGGGUAGUGGCCUACCAAGGCGACGACGGGUAGCCGGCCUGAGAGGGUGACCGGCCACACUGGGACUGAGACACGGCCCAG
rnacentral:rRNA from 1 species